UACGUAGGGUGCGAGCGUUAAUCGGAAUUACUGGGCGUAAAGUGUGCGCAGGCGGCCGCGCAAGUCGAGUGUGAAAGCCCCGGGCUUAACUUGGGAAUUGCGCUCGAAACUACGUGGCUGGAGUGUGGCAGAGGAAGGUGGAAUUCCAGGUGUAGCGGUGAAAUGCGCAGAUAUCAGGAGGAACACCGGUGGCGAAGGCGGGUCUCUGGGCCGAUACUGACGCUGAGGAGCGAAAGCGUGGGGAGCGAACAGG
rnacentral:rRNA from 1 species